rnacentral:lncRNA from 1 species
CUUAUUGAUAAAAGGGAUGUCUGGUAACCCAGACACACACACACAAAAAUGCUGGCUAUUUGACAGGAGAUUCCUACUCUACCCAAAACCCCAAUAUCCCUGGUUCCUUUUCUUAUUGAAAGGCUGCCCCACAUUAUUGUAGAUGAUAAUAAGAGAACAGAAUUUAUCUCAGAGAUUGGGGCAUACAUUGUUACUGUUGGUGUUAAUAAUGACCCAGCUGAUGCAAGAAAGGAAGGACUCAAGAUGGCUGAAAUAAAAGUUAAGCGUAUUGAAGCCAAAGAAGCUUUAGAAAAUUACAUUACCUUACAGGAUUUUAACUCGGCAUCAAAAUUAAAAGAAGAAAUAAGAGUAUUAGAAGAUGUCAAAAGAAACCUUUUGCAAGAGACAGAGCAACUUGAAAUCAAAGAAGUCCAUGUAGAGAAGAAUGACGCAGAAACAUUACAGAAUGUCUUAUCUUAUGCUGUGAACUGUUGAAGCAGAUGUCCAUUUCAACAGGCAUAAGUGCAGCCAUGAAUGGGAUCAUAGAAUUUUUAUUCUUCCUAAAAUAAUAAAUGUUUACCCUAUAGUAAGAAGCCUGGCUGUUUUAUGCUUGGGAGCUGCAGACUACAGAAUCAGAAUUUUGCACAUAACACUUUGUGUUAUUAUUGCAGGUUUUGCAAAUUGAUGAUGUCACAAUAAAAAUAAGUACUUUAAAGUGAAUCUUUGACUAACUGAUAAUGUUUGAGGUUGAACCACUUAAACCUAAAAAAUCAAAGCCUUUUAAUAUGAAGGUACAGAGAUAAACAGUGAUUUAUGAGCAACAGUCAUAAAAAGUUGAAAAGGCCCUUACAGCGAAGAAUGUUCUGAAACUCCUUUCUGAUUUCUUAGGUAGUGAGGUAUCUACACUUAGGACAGGAGCCACAGGAGGACUAGCCAAGCUGAUGUUCUCUGGGCUUUUGGUCAGCAGCAGACUUUUUCCCAUCUUAUUUUGUUAUGGUAGAAUCCUGUGACUGAAGAGGAUGUUCGACUUUGACAUUGCCUAGGCAUGCUCUCCCCCAUGUUUGCUUAUGCAAACAGGACUAAUCAGGAAUACUUUAAAGAAGUUUCUCUUCCAAGCCUGCAAACACUGGCCAAUGCUCCUGCAUCUUCUCCUUUAGCUGAAAUUGAUAUCAGAAAUGUUGUUCAGUUACUUAUAGAUUUGACAAGAACAAGUAGAUUAAAUCCUCAGGCCAAGAAUUCCUAAGAUUAUCAGGCCUUAACAGUACAUGACAAUUUGGCUAUGAAAAUUUGCAAUGAGAUCUUAAGAAGUCCAUGCUCACCAGAAAUUCGGGUCUCUAUAAAAGCCUUGAGUUCUUUAGAACUCAGUAGCCAUCUUGCAAAAGAUCUUCUGGUUCUAUUGAAUGGGAUUCUGGAGCAAGUAAAGGAGAGGGCAUAUCUGAAAGCUUUGGAGAAAAUCAAGAUUCGGUUAGCAAAAAGGAAAUAAAGAAUUUGGUGACCAGCCUGAAGCAGCAAAGGAUGCCAGCUUGACUACAACUAUUUUUCAAAAUGAAGAUGAAAAGAAUAAGGAAGUACAUAUGACUCUUCUUAGGGAUGUAAAAGCAACCCUGGCAUCAAAAUCUACUCAACAAAAGACUAACAGGGGACAGAGAAAAGUGAUAGCUUCAACUAUGAUGAAGAGGAGACAUCACAUUGCUGAGGCUGACUCUGAAAGUGACCAUGAAGUUCUAGAACCAGAAUCAGAAAUGAAGAUGAAACUAGCAAGACAAGCCAAAACAGCAGUGCUGGAAAAAAGUAAACUUAAUCUUGCACAAUUUCUCAAUGAAUAUAGAAGUUAG